CAAUUUUAAUCGUUCACGCACUGAUGAUUUGAUUUAGAUCAAUUUAUGCAACAUCGUGGUAGAAUUAGAAAAAAGGGGCUAUAGAGGGGCAACGCGCCUCUUUAAUCUUUAUAACGAAAGUGCUCGGUUCUAAUCGCUCCCGGUGUAGUUACAAUGUUGCGAGAUUUGAAACCAUUUUUUCCCAUAUACAUAUAUAUACCUUAGAAUUCGGCGCCUUAGUACGAUGGAAGAGGUGUCAGGAUAUGUGGAGAUAUUUGUUCCUGUAUCGCAAGAGUGCAUGGGUAUUGUCAUCGGAACUGGGGGAAGAAAUAUAAAGAAAGUUAAACAAGAAACAGAUACGACGAUUACAUCUUGUAAUGGGCAUAACGUGGAGAGAGAAUCUGGUUUUAUAGUCACUGGCACUGUAACUAAUUGUGAAAAAGUACGGGAGUCUAUAAGAUGCCUAUUAAUAAGUAUACUUAUUAUUUUCAUCGGUGGAAAUUAGGCAAUCUGAUUAUUUUUCGCAUCUUGAGUAAAUGGAG
rnacentral:lncRNA from 1 species